AGGCGGGACCGCGACGCGGGAUGAGAAGGAGUGGAGCAGUCGGGGCGCUCACGUCAGGUGAAGGGCGGGAGUGGGCGGUGGAGCCCGAGGGGUGAGGCUGGGUCCCUGGCAAAGCUGGGCUGCGGGAAAUCUCCCCCAGAGCUCGCAAGGCUUUUUUUUUUUUUCUUUUUUCUUUUUUUUGAGACAAGGUCUCUGUCCCUUAGGCUGGAGUAUAGUGGGCACCGACCACUGCUCACUGCAGCCUUGAGCUGCUGUGUUCAAACCAUCCUCCCACCUCAGCCUCCCGAGUAGCUGGGACUAUAGGCGCGCACCACUACGCCUGGCUAACUUUAAAAAAAUUCCGUAGAGACAGGGCCUCACUACGUUGACCAAGCUGGAUUCAGGGCUUUUUAAUGUCCUUGUUUAGUCACAGAAUCUAGCAGACCUUCUUGGAAUGUUUUCUUUACUAGACGUUUUAAAGAAAAGGCUUACCCCAAUUAUCAAAUCCUUACAUAGUUUAGCGUUACUUUUCAACGUCGCCAGCCCCCCUCCCCUUUUUUUUCUUUUUUAGUUCAUUUUUUGUUGAGGCGAAGUUUUCGUAUACAGUGAAAAUAAUAGUUUUUCCCCCCCAGUGGACAAUUUGAUGAGUUUGGUAAAUGUAAACAGCUGUGUAACUACCACCCAAUCAGGACGUAGAGCAUUUCCAUCACUCAGAAGAGUGGCCUGUUUCUUUCCUGUCCAUCUCCCACCACAUCAGCAACCACUCCUCUUAUUUCUAGCACUAUAAAAAUGAAGGUGAUAGGUACUCUUUUGGGUCUGCGUGAACCAGAAGUUAGUAGUGUUUGUUAUUGAGAGGCAUUCCAUUGAAUACUUUAUGCAUUCACCAGUUGAUGGAUUUGUAUUGCUUUCAAUUUUUGGUGAUGAUGAGCAAAGUUGCUAUAACCAUUCUCGUACAAGUCCUUGUGGGCAUAUUUUAUUUAUCUUGAGGAAAUACAGGAGUGGAAUUUCUGGGUCAUUCUGGGUAUGUUUAACUUAAAAUUUUUUUUUUUUUUUAGAAGCAGGGUCUCUCCGUCCCCCAGGCUAGAGAGCAGUGGCACAAUCAUAGCUCAUUGCAGCCUUGGCCUCUUGAAUAGCUGGGACUAUAGGCGGGUGCCGUCACCCAUGUCUAACUUUGUAAGGAAUUGCCAAGCAGUUUUCCAAAGUGGUUGUACCAUUUUACAAUUCCCACCAGCCACAUAUAAGAGUUCCACUUGUUUCACAUGCUUUCCAGCACGUGGGGUUGUCAGUCUCUAAUGUUCACCCUUCUGGCCAGGCACUGUGGCUUGCGCUUGUAAUCCCAGCACUUUGGGAGGUCAAGGCGGGGGGAUCACGAGGUCAAGAGAUCAAGAUCACCCUGGCCAAUAUGGUGAAAUGCCGUCUCUGCUAAAAAUACAAAAAUUAGCCGGGUGUGGUGGUGCGCG
rnacentral:lncRNA from 1 species